rnacentral:rRNA from 1 species
GACGAACGCUGGCGGCGUGCUUAACACAUGCAAGUCGAACGGCGAAGGACUGGCUUGCUCUGGUGCUCCAGUGGCGAACGGGUGAGUAACACGUGAGUAACCUGCCCCAGACUCUGGAAUAACCGCUGGAAACUGCGGCUAAUACCGGAUACGAGCUAGAGCUGCAUGGCGAGUGUCGGGAAGGUUCGGCGGUCUGGGAUGGACUCGCGGCCUAUCAGCUUGUUGGUGGGGUAACGGCUUACCAAGGCAAUGACGGGUAGCCGGCCUGAGAGGGCGACCGGCCCAAUUGGGAACGAGGACACGCCCAGGCUUCUUCGGGAGGGAGGCGUUGGGAAUAAUUGCCCAUGGGGCGAAGGCCUAAUGCGGAGAGCCGCGUUGGGGGUUGCGGCCCUCCGGUUGUAAAACGUCUUUGCGCGGGACAGAGGGGGAGGUGCGGUUACCGGCAGAAGAAGCCCCGGCUACCUCCGG